rnacentral:lncRNA from 1 species
AUGUUCUUUCACCUUCACUGUUUAGAAGUUGUUAACACCGGGGCCAGCGACAUGAUUGAUGCACGUGCUUUCCCCUCCUCUGGAGUAGGUUCCACUGUUCCCCCCUCAGAGCUAUCUCAACCUCUUUUGAGAUAAGCCUCAUAAUCUGAAGAAGACACCCAGACACUCAUGACUCCACUACACGAAGUCAUCGUAGACUGGCUGCUAUGCUGUACAACUUACAUUACCAACUCAUGGAUCGUCACUCCUUCGAGUUCAGUGUAAAAGUUUAUGUAUGUCUGACAAUAACAGGGGGUGGUCUCUAGCUUUCUUAAAAUAAAUGAAGGAAGAAUAUUUUAUUUGAAAAUAGAAAAUACAGUUAAGCUUAGGAGAAAUAAAUUCACGAACUAGAGUGAGAGAUAAUCUUCAUUUUGAAGAAAGCGUGAUUGGAGUUUAGAAAACAGAAAGUGCAUUCUAGGAUACAAGUAAAAUGUAGAAGAAAAUGCAACUCUAAUAUGUAACUAUAUUUAGUCCCCUAAAAAUCAAAUACAAAAUGCAGUAUAAUGGAAUAGAGGAACUUUAGUGGUACUAGGACAUACGAGAACAUAGUAAAAAACUGUAGCAACGAUUGAUUAAAGUUUAGUUACAGUUCCCUUUCACAUUAUUAUUUUUUGAAGCAAUGUUAUGAAGAAAACUAUAAUAUAGACUUACCAAACUUAAUUUUAGUCAAAAACUUUUUUUUGCACUAGGCAUAUGUUUAUCCUGCAG